ACUACGGGAGGCAGCAGUGGGGAAUAUUGCACAAUGGGGGAGACCCUGAUGCAGCGACGCCGCGUGAGUGAAGAAGUAAUUCGUUACGUAAAGCUCUAUCAGCAGGGAAGAAAAUGACGGUACCUGAGUAAGAAGCCCCGGCUAACUACGUGCCAGCAGCCGCGGUAAUACGUAGGGGGCACGCGUUAUCCGGAUUUACUGGGUAGAAAGGGAGCGUAGACGGUUCGCCAAGUCUGGAGUGAAAUGCCGCAGCUUAACUGCGGAACUGCUUUGGAAACUGGCGAACUAGAGUGCGGGAGGGGUAAGCGGAAUUCCUAGUGUAGCGGUGAAAGGCGUAGAUAUUAGGAGGAACACCGGUGGAGAAGGCGGCUUACUGGACCGUAACUGACGUUGAGGCUCGAAAGCGUGGGGAGCAAACAGGAUUAGAUACCCUUGUAGUC
rnacentral:rRNA from 1 species